UCGUUCAUUUGUAGCCCAUUUCUCCCCACACUGAUCAGCCUGAUACCACGGAGAACGCCGUCGAUCUCCUCUGCCAAGACUUUACUGUUCCGCUUCCCCUCCCUUUGCUGCGUUUAAGAAACGUCUACACUAAUGGCUUUCAAUCAACGAUACCCACUACAUCAUCUUUAAUGCCUUAUUAUCAAGCUCUCUCAGGGGAUUAUAUAUAUGCAGAAGAUGAGAGAUUUUUCAUGCGCAUCCUCUUGCUCCUUUAAGAUUACUGAAACCAGACAUUUUUUCUUAUUCACCAAUAUUUUGUAAUUUGGGAAUUGAGAAACAAAAUAAUUGUUAUGGCUAUUUGUUUCAUCACAACUUUUUAAAACAUGUUCUUAACCAAAAUCUAUUGUUCUUUGUCAGGGAAACAAAGUCGUCAAACUAAGCUCUGCUCAAAAGCUCCUCCAACGAAAAAGAUUCUUUCGGUAUCAUUUCUGUAUGAUUAUUUUGCCAUACAAUAUUCUCCUUUAAUGAAUUAGUUUUUCCAUUUCUUGGCUUUUGUACUCAAUAUCAGUAACUUUUUUUCCUCAUCUCUCUUUCUGCAGUUUAGUUUUAAAAUCCAAUGUUUUUGUCAUUCUCACUGGUUAGUUGCUUGAUAAUUGCAUCUUGAACAACAAAGAAAGAGUUAUGUGUUCUGUUUAUUUUUACUUUUAAAUUUCGGGUUUCAAAGAUCUUUCAAAACAGGGUUGGUGGUUCUGGAGUGAACAUGAGAAGCACAGCCAAGGUAAUCGUUUUGUUAUAUUUACACGUUGACAACAAAUUUAGCAAAUUUCCUGUAAAAUAGAAUCAGAAUGACAAAGCUUACUGAUCUCUGUUUGGUUUACCUUUACACUCUCCCUGAACCUGCAACCCAACCAUCAAAAUUCCUAAAAAGGAACUAUGAUUGUUCCAACACUGGUGAAGCUCCUGGGAAAAACAGUGAAGUGAUCUUAUAGGACCAUACCAUUGUAGUGUUGGAGCUGACAAGUCUUUUGGAAGGGAAGGGACAUCGUUGAUUCUCACUUCAAGGAAUGUUUGUAUGCCGGAAUUAACACCAGUACAGAUCAAUGGAGAAGUCAUGCCUGGUCAGCGGAUCUAAUAUGGGAUGCUGAAUGAUUUUUCUAGAUUACACCCAGUUCCGUAACACCGCUUAAGUAUCCGUACCAGAUGUAUGUUGCGUCAUUUAUCCCUACUACCAGAUAAAUGUACCUGUCAUUUAGAGAAGAGAUUUUUUGGGAUUGAAUAAAUGUUCUGUCUCGAUCAACCUGCAAUGUAGCUACUCUGAUGGGUGAAUAUACUCAUAUACCCUAGAAUUCAGCUGCAUAACAUCUUCACCUAGGAACGAGAGAUUGUGAUUCUCAAGCUAUGGUUUCCAAGCCAUCUCUCGAUUUCAAGCUAUAAUUUAUUAAUCUUUAAUAUGUAAUGCUGCAAUGUCAUAUAUAACUUGAUGUCUGAGUUACAAAGGGUGAGUUUUGGCUUUGCUUUUAGAUUCCAAGAAUAUGUGAGGGGAAAUAGACAAUUCUAAAAGGGAGUUUGGAAAACAUUAUAGGUCUAAGAUCAAUAAGAAAACUAAGUUGACAAGGAGCAAAA